rnacentral:rRNA from 1 species
GUGUCAGCAGCCGCGGUAAUACGUAUGGGGCAAGCGUUAUCCGGAUUCAUUGGGCGUAAAGAGCGCGUAGGCGGCUUGGUAAGUCAGAUGUGAAAACCGGGGGCUCAACCCGCGGCCUGCAUCUGAAACUGCCAGGCUUGAGUCUGGUAGAGGAAAGUGGAAUUCCCAGUGUAGCGGUGAAAUGCGCAGAUAUUGGGAGGAACACCAGUGGCGAAGGCGGCUUUCUGGGCCACGACUGACGCUGAGGCGCGAAAGCUAGGGGAGCAAACAGGAUUAGAAACCCUAGUAGUCC